rnacentral:rRNA from 1 species
UGAGGAAUCUUGCGCAAUGGGGGAAACCCUGACGCAGCAACGCCGCGUGAGUGAGGAAGGUCUUCGGGUCGUAAAGCUCUGUCAGGCGGGAAGAAAUGCAUGGAGGUGAACAGCCGCCAUGCUUGACGGUACCGCCAGAGGAAGCACCGGCUAACUCCGUGCCAGCAGCCGCGGUAAUACGGGGGGUGCAAGCGUUGUUCGGAAUCAUUGGGCGUAAAGAGCGUGUAGGCGGCGUGGUAAGUCAGAUGUGAAAGCCCUGGGCUCAACCCGGGAAGUGCAUUUGAAACUGCCAGGCUCGAGUAGGGGAGAGGGAAGUGGAAUUCCUGGUGUAGAGGUGAAAUUCGUAGAUAUCAGGAGGAACACCGGUGGCGAAGGCGACUUCCUGGCCCUAUACUGACGCUGAG